UUGGCUCUCGCAUCGAUGAAGAACGCAGCGAAAUGCGAUAAGUAAUGUGAAUUGCAGAAUUCAGUGAAUCAUCGAAUCUUUGAACGCACCUUGCGCUCCUUGGUAUCCCGAGGAGCAUGCCUGUUUGAGUGUCAUUAAAUUCUCAACCUCACCUGGUUUCUAACUUGUGUGAUGGCUUGGAUUUGGGAGUUUUGCAGGCUGCAGUUUACUGCGGUUCUGCUCUCCUU
rnacentral:rRNA from 1 species